GAUGAACGCUAGCGGGAGGCUUAACACAUGCAAGUCGAGGGGUAAAUGGUAGCAAUACUAUGAGACCGGCGGACGGGUGCGUAACGCGUAUGCAACAUACCUUGUGCAGGGGGAUAGCCCGUGGAAACGCGGAUUAAUAUUCCAUAGUCCAGCUAUAUCGCAUGGUAUAGUUGGUAAAGAUUUAUCGCCCUUAGACGGGCCCGCGUCGGAUUAGCUAGUUGGUGGGGUAACGGCCUACCAAGGCGACGAUCCGUAGCUGAUCUUAGAGGAUGAUCAGCCACACUGGGACUGAGACACGGCCCAGACUCCUACGGGAGGCAGCAGUGGGGAAUCUUGGACAAUGGGCGCAAGCCUGAACCAGCCAUCCCGCGUGCAGGAAGACGGCCCUAUGGGUUGUAAACUGCUUUUCCAGGGAGAGAAACUUACGCACGUGUUGCGUGACUGACGGUACCCUGGGAAUAAGCAUCGGCUAACUCCGUGCCAGCAGCCGCGGUAAACUGU
rnacentral:rRNA from 1 species